rnacentral:rRNA from 1 species
CUGACGAGCGGCGGACGGGUGAGUAAUGCAUAGGAAACUGCCCAGUAGUGGGGGAUAGCCCGGGGAAACCCGGAUUAAUACCGCGUACGCCCUUCGGGGGAAAGCAGGGGAUCUUCGGACCUUGCGCUAUUGGAUGUGCCUAUGUCGGAUUAGCUAGUUGGUGGGGUAAAGGCCUACCAAGGCGACGAUCCGUAGCUGGUCUGAGAGGAUGAUCAGCCACAUCGGGACUGAGACACGGCCCGA